rnacentral:lncRNA from 1 species
ACAUGCCAGCAGCUCACUGCAAGUAUAAAUUAGGCAUCCAACUGCCAAUUAGGCAUGCAAGAGUCAGACCAAUUCAAAACAUGAUUCUGUUGAUCUUUUAGAUUGCAGUACCUGCUUUUGUAUUUUAUGCACGCUCUAUUUGGCGGGGGAGAGGUUAGUUUUCAUGUGCUAAAUAGCAUGAUUAUAAAUUCUGGUCUACACCUAUGAACAAGACGUUAUUUUUUUUAAUCCCCUCAUUCAAAAUAGGUGAGGAUUUUCUUUGCUGAAUUGAGGGUACCAAUGCAUAAUGUGCUUAAGCAAGUGCUUGGCUUUAAGCACCUGCUCACAUGCCUUGUUGAAUAGGGAUGUACUUAAGCAUGUGUUUAAAAGCUUAAUUGGGGAGAGAUAAUUUUUGAGUAAACGAACACCACAAAAUAUUAAACAGUGUGGUUUUUUUUCAAGCUCAUUCCUCUCCUGAUGUGCUUGACCGAGCCCCUAGAACAUUCCAUGUGUGUUGCAUCAUUAUGCAGAAGCUGAGAUCUGAUCUCUUCAGGAAUUCUUCCUUUACGAUCUACAGAUGUGCUACUGAGAGAUUCUCCCCUCCACAUACACGCUUUCCUGGGCUACAUGCAGUGUGAAGGUUUGGCUAAGGUGAAGCAGAUGGAUCAAGCUUACAUUCGCUAGGACAAGUGUUUUAGAUUCUCCACUUGAUUUGACCCUGCCUAUCAUCGUAAGGAACUAGCUCAGCCUCGUUGUCAGCAUCGUCGUCAUCUUCUGGAUCAGAAGGAGGAGCAGCGUGGUUAAAAAGAUAGCAGUCAGGUAGGACACAGCCCAAGGAAAGGAAGCAGUUGUCCUGGCUGUCAUUCCUAUGCUGAACAUUUCAGUAUUGGAGACCAUCACCACACCAUGGCUGAGGAUACUUUGCUUUCUCGUGCCAUUCAGGGCUGCCUAUAGCCCAUUCUUU